UCUGUUAGAAAAUGACUAGAAUUUUCUAAGGCAGCACUGCCUAAUAGAAAUAUAGUGUGAGCCACACAAUAUAAUUUUUAAGUUUUUAGUAGUCAUUAAAACAAGUAGAAAGAUACCAGUGGAAUUUUAAUAACUGUAUUUCUAUACUGCUGCUCCUUCUAUUGAAUCUAACUUAAAAUUCCAUGUAACCCUCACAUGUGGGUAUGAAAAACAUUAACAGGAAAUGCUAAUAUAGGGAGUCAGUGAAGCUGGGGUAGGAAAUUGAUGAUGUGAUACCGGAAGUGAUCUGGCAGGGCUUUAAAGUAAUGCCAGAGGUCCUUCCAGGCAGUUCUCAACUUGCUCCUUGGCUGUUCUCCUGACACUUAAGUCAGAGCAUUCUGUAGCUGUAUUUUACAGAACUGUAAUUGCACAGAUUGUUCCUCUUACAAGAGAAAUAUCCAGAGCUCUAAGAAAACAACUGAUGAAAACGACAUGCGUGACAUUUGGUGCUGAAGACCCAGGUCAGAGAGACUCCUUUGGGGGACCAGUCCGCUGUCCUUGCCCUCACUCUGUGAGGAGACCCACCUACGACCUCGGGUCCUCAGACCAACCAGCUCAAGGAACAUCUCACCAAUUUCAAAUCGGGACCCCACUGGAAAAUGGACUGUCCAACUCACCCGGCAGCCACUCCCAGAGCCCCUGGAACUCUGGCCCAAGGCUCUCUGACUGACUCCUUCCCAGAUCUUCUCGGCUCAGCAGCUGAAGACUGACACUGCUUGAUUGCCUGGGAAGCCUAUAGGACCAUCACAGACACUUUGGAUAACUCUUACAGUGAAGGACAAAAAAGCGCCACUGCAGGGAGGAAUGCCAGGGUCCCAUAGAGGGAGACCGACAGUGAAGUGGAGCCUGCCAUGAAUUCACCAAAGGCCAUUCUCCCUUUCUUCCAGAAGAACAGCAUUUAGCUGGGCCUAUGGCUACCUACCUAAAGACUGCACCUCUUAGUCACCCUUGUGGCCAGGUGUGGCCACGUGACAGUGGAAUCCCGACUUUGUGCAGCAAAGGACAAGGCCCUAGGGGAAGGUGGAGAAACAAGAUGGAACAACUUGGACCCAACAACUUGGAUCCCUAUGUGGCCAUGUGGAGUCAUCUCACCCACCUGGGCCACUCACCCCGAAGACUGUUGUGUGAGGGUGAAAUAAACUUCUGUAUCACUAGCCCCUGCAUUUCAGAAAUUCUUUGUUAUGGCAGUUUUGCCUUUAUCCUAACACAGACAGCAAAGUAUCUUCUGUGGCCCCAUGACUAAUUUCGUUGUUUAAACUCAUUAUAAAAACUAUAUAAAUAAAAUAUUAAAAAUCAAAUAAAAUAGCAAGAUAACACUGUGUAACUAUCCAGUUUUAGAUGUUAUUACCUUUUUGGCAUAUUUACCUCAUCUAUUUUCUCCAGGGGUUUUUAAAGAAGAGUCAUGCUUGUUAUUUUAAAUUAUCUGCAGUGCUCCUUGGUCUUAUAAAACUAUGGGUUAUUUCAAACUUCGGUAAAUGUCUGAUACACAUGAACUUCUUGCAUUGUUGAGGAAAUCAGAGAAAAAUGAUGCUGUUUUUCCCUUGUAAGUUGACAAUGGAUGGAGAUGAAACCACCUUUGCAAAAUUAUGGCAAUAAGAGAAAUUGGACAUGGCAGACUCCAUCUUGCUUUUAGCCUCACAGGUUGGCUGUCUUGGCUCAUUCCUGGGCAUAAGCCAAGCUAACUUUGGCAGAAAUUGAGUUUAUAGUGUAAACGAUAAUAGCCUUUCCCCAAAACUAAACUACCCUUGUAAAAUUAAUGAAAGGCCACCAAGUUAGGAGGAUGAGAAGGGCCUGAAUGCCUGAAUUCAGCCAUUAUUCUGGAAGUCACAAGAUGUGCAACCUCCCCAGUUACUCCUGUAAAUAACUUCAGUAUUGUAGAACCUAAGAUUGGCCUUUUGACAGCCUUUUGCAUUUCUGACAACUAGAUGGCCCCACGCAGACCCGUGACUCAACCAGUCCUAUAGCCUUCAUCCAAAAAUGGACUCAGUGCAUGAGGACUGUUUUCCACACCCUUAUGAUUGCAUCCCAAACCAAUCAGCAGCACCCAUACCCUAUCCCCUGCACACCAAACUAUCUUUGAGAAACUCCUAACCUCUGAUUCUUUGGUGAGAUUGAUUUAAGUAAUAACUCUGUCUCCCACAUGGCGUGGCUGGCGUCGUGUCAAUUAAACUCUUUCUUUACUGCAAUGCCAUGGUCUCUAUGAAUUGAUUUUGUUUUGCAG
rnacentral:lncRNA from 10 species